rnacentral:rRNA from 1 species
ACUAAUAGUAGUUGACAUUUCUUCUUCCCACAUUCACUCCUUACAUCCAUUUUCACGAGCCACCUCCUGUAAUGCCCUAUUCUCGCGAGGUACAAUAUAACAGAAUUAGCUACGCUAACAAUUAGAGACUUACUUGGGUCUAUAAACGUAGAGCUAUCUCAUUUGCUUUCAACCCUUAGCCCUACGUGCCUUGUUUUACUUUAGGGAAAAAAUUUUACUCACUAAGGACUCUCCCCUCUUUGUUCUUUUUAAUUUACCUCUUACUGUUCCUCCCAGCAAAGUUAGGAAAGACCCCUCCCCACUCUUCCUUCGACAACAUUUUUUCCCGGGUCCGCCUUUCGUUUUUUUUCCCUCUUCUUCUUUCCUCUCUUUUCCUUUCAUUUUUUACAAGUACCCGUGAGGGAAAGUUGCAAAGCACUUUGAAGAGAGAGUUAAAGAGGACGUGAAACCGAUAAGAUGGAAACGGAUAGAGCCGACGUAUCUGGCCUGUAUUCAGCCGGGUGGCUGUCCAUCGCUGGUUAGUCAGUCCUGUUUCUGGCUGGCUGGCUAGUGAUUGGGCAGUUUUACUGGUGCAUUUGCAGGUGGUGUGCGCCGAAGCUCGCGCUAUGCUUUGGCUGGAUCGUUGCUUUGAGGUCUCCCUUCGGGCGAGAAACCAGAGCUUCAGGAAGGCUAUGUGCUGUGCGAGUAGUAGUGCACGGUAUUCGGUUGACCCGGUUGUAGGUUUUUGCUGGGGUUGCAGUCGCAUGCGACUGUGCCUUGGUGGGUUCUUGCAGCUGGUUAGACCCCGUGACAUUCUUCGGUGUAAAAGUCGGUCAUCUCUCCGACCCGUCUUGAAACACGGACCAAGGAGUUUAACGAGUGUGCGAGUCAUUGGGUGUGAAAACUCAAAGGCGCAAUGAAAGUAAAGGCUUCGCUUGUCGAGCUUAUAUGCGACCUCGGUGGUUUCGGCCAUUGAGAGCAGCAUAGCCCCGUCCCGACUGCUUGCAGUGGGGCGGAGGAAGAGCAUACUCGCUGAGACCCGAAAGAUGGUGAACUAUGCCUGAGCAGGACGAAGCCAGAGGAAACUCUGGUGGAAGUCCGGAGCGGUUCUGACGUGCAAAUCGAUCGU